rnacentral:rRNA from 1 species
AUUGAACGCUGGCGGCAGGCCUAACACAUGCAAGUCGAGCGAGCGGCGGACGGGUGAGUAAUGUAUGGGGACUGCCCGAUAGAGGGGGAUAACUACUGGAAACGGUAGCUAAUACCGCAUACUAUCGGAUAACCCAUAUGGGAUUAGCUAGUAGGUGGGGUAAUGGCUCACCUAGGCGACGAUCCCUAGCUGGUCUGAGAGGAUGAGCAGACAACGUGGCACUGAGACACGGCCCAGACUCCUACGGAGGGAGGAGGGGGGACUAUUGCACAAGGGGCGCAUGCCUGAUGGCGCCAUGCCGUGUGUAUGAAGAGGGCCCUGGGGUUGUAAAGUACUUUAAGUCGGGAGACGUUACCGACAGAAAAAGCACCGGCUAACUCCGUGCCAGCGGCCGCGGUAUUA